AAUUUUAGUAGACAAAAUAUAAGAUUUUUUAGCAGAGUAAAACGGCGUCGUUUUGUUUUGUGGCGUUUUUAUUAAAAACGCCGCAAUAGAUAAGCAAUAGCGGCAUUUUUGUGAAAAACGCCGCGAAAAGUAAUUAAAAUCCCGCUCACUCCCAAAAAUUAAUUUUUGGUUACCCGCUCAUUACUCCCUCUUCUUCUCAUCUCAGUCGUGCGCCCUAAAUCCCCAAAGAAAAGUUCGUUUUUCUUCAGCUGAAAUCCCCCAAAUUUCCCAUUUCCAACAACACCAGUCAAUACACCUACACCAAUCACACUUUUUUUUCCUUUUCAUUUCACUGCACUGAAUUCACUCACCAUAGCUACUCCUUUUCUCUCGAUCUGUUAGGGGUUCUUUCAAUUUUAGGCUUUCAAUACAGUUUCCUUUUAAUUUUACUGGUGAUUUCUAUAGUGACUAAAACCCUAGAUGAGAAGAAAUCGGAGGAAGAGGAGUUGAAAGAUAAAGGAAACGAAGAGAGGAGUAAGGUUGUUCGCUGAAAUAAACAGAUAAAAAAAAAGGUUGAAGAAGGGUUUAUUAAAUUCCUGGGGCCUUACUAUAUGCUGCUUAUUACAAAACGAAGACAGAUUGGAGCACUUUUCAGACACAAUGUAUAUGCAGUUUCGAAAAGUGAGAUGAUUCCCCUCCCAAAUUCAUCUGUUAACCCAAGCAUUGCGGACUUUAGGAAAGAGAACAGUGACUACAGUAAAGUCUGCUAGACAGGUCAUUGAUGCACUGAAUGCUGAGGGACCUGACAUUGAUAUAAUACUUACUGAAGUCGACCUCCCAAUGACAAAAGGAAUGAAGUUGCUAAAGUAUAUUAUGCGGAAUAAUGAACUACGGCGCAUUCCUGAUAUUAUGAUGUCGGCCCAGGAUGAGGUCUCUAUUGUUGUUAAGUGCCUGAGGCUUGGUGCUGCUGACUAUCUUGUCAAGCCUUUACGAACCAAUGAAUUGUUGAACUUGUGGACACACAUGUGGAGAAGGCGAUGUGAGCAGGGAUGAUGAAGAUGAUUCUGUUGCCAAGAUGAAGGCAGCUGAGGAAGCCUUGGAAGCAAAACAAAAAGUAACAAAUAGCUUGUCUGCUACCUGUUCUUUUUUUUUUUAUAAUGUUUUAUAAUUUUGUGACAAAUUGUUCUUGGUACUCUGCAGAUAUUUAUGCAAAAUUACCCUAUGAUUCUAUUGUAUUUAUACUGCAUGGUUGCACCAUGUAUUUCUUAACUAGUUUAAUAAAUUUUAUAUGUGGUGUUUAAUUUUUCGUUA